rnacentral:pre_miRNA from 13 species
CUCUUGUGGCCCAGGAAAUCAAGCGUGGGUGAGACCUGGUGCGGAAGGGGAAGGCGACCCAUACUUGGUUUCAGAGGCUGCAAGAA